GCAAACUCCUUCAGGGACUCUACUGUGGGCGGCUCUGGGGCACUAGCUGUGGGGGGAAUAGGAUAGUGAACGCAGUCUGCAUUCUCACCCCUGUGAUGGCCUCCUUGCCCCUAACGUAGCUGGUACACAGGAGGCAACCUCCUUACCCCAACCGCACCUGGCACACGGGAGGUACUUAGCAGAUGCCUUCUGCACGCCCAGCGGGGAAGCCCCUUUGCCCACAGAGUUCCCCAGCGAGCCUGCAGGUGGCUGGGCCCCAGGAGAGCUGUCUGGCAGCAGACGGCCCUGUGGGAGCCCCAGAGCCUGGCCUGGGUGCCUUCAACUUUCCCGUCUGGACUUCUCUCAUUUCCCUGAACCAGAUGCAUGUUAUCCCGUGGGGACGAACCGGCUGGUCCUUCACUGUGGUGCUGUGUCCCCAUCAUCCACAGCUCCCAGAACACACACGGCCCCAGACCCUCCGAGGCCUCCCCAGCGGGUCCCCUCUGAGCCACGUGGUUUGCUUUUCUAGAGUCUCUCAGUGCAUUCUCACACUUGUGAGCACCAGGGGCCACAGGAUGCAGGCACCUCCAGCCAAACACACGCGCUGAACAGCCAGAGUCACUUCCAAAGUCCUCCAAGUCCCAGCGGGACCAGCCCCUGUUAGCACAACUCCAGAGCUUACUGGGAAUGUGGGUAAACACUCUGGCAAGACACUCGCCCUGACAGCCGUGAUGAAUAGCUGGACUCGCUCUCCACCUGGCCCAGCUCGCUCCAAAUGCAAGCUCUGGAAAGAUCCUUUUCUCGUUUGCCCUUUGGUAAGUGCUGAGGCAUGAACAAAAGUCCAUUCCCAAGCUGGGUACCUAAUUUUUAUUAAUAAUAUCUCCACUCUAUCAAUCACUGCUAACUAACGGGAACACUUAAAGAAAUUAAUUUAAACCUGGCAAGAGGAAACACAGCAGUCCACUGCUUUCCCUCCUCGGUGAAUUCUGAGACUUUGGCUGCACUGAAAUGUGCGCCGUGCCAUGGGCUGGCCGGCUCAGCUUCCCCCAGUGGAGGCCAGCUUCUCUUUCUGCAACGAGGCACCCUGGACAAGGGGCAGUGUCAGCAGAGUCUCCUAAUUACUUCCCGACACCCCACCUGUUCUCAGAAGUGCUGGAGUGGCCACAGCCCACAGGGGGCCUGGGCACAGGGCUGGCCCACAGGUUGGGGGAGCUGCCCAUUCUUUGCAGGACACACCUGAUGCAGAGGUGGGGCCCCUGCUGUGUGGCUAUUCCUGCAAGUUCAGGCGUCUACAUUUUUUACCCAAAGGUAGAGACACAUGGGCCAGGAAGACACAGGCGAGAUGCAGGAGUUGAACAACCCUGAGAGGAUAUACUCUAUUCUUGCUUUGUCUUGCCCCUGGAUGCUGGUCCCUAUCUAACCUGAAACCUGGUGCUCCAAAGAUGGCUGGCUGUGGGCCCGUCUUCAGGGGCCCAUGUUUAUUUGUUCUCAGCAAAAUACAAUGUCUGGGAUAAAAGUCAAAGACAGCACUGGCGCAUCCCCACACCCAUCCCCACACCGAGACUUCUUCCCAAACCACAAAACAAGGGAGGCUGGACUUCCGAAGAGCUGCCCACGGUGCUGGAGGGGACGGUUCAGGUGCUUUGGGCCAACACAUGUUUUCAGAGUGAUGUAUUUGAAGACAGGCAGCAAGUGCUUCUGCACUUGGAUAUUUCUGCAUACAUAUUGAAUGUGGGAAGCUUAUUUGAGCAGUGUUAAAAAAAACUUUAUCUUUUAAUUUAAUGUUUAAAUUAAUUGAUUUUAUAACUCCUUUUAGAAGCUUCUUACAUUUCGGAGAGUAGUUAUUUUUUAAGUUGUGCUUUGUUUUAUUUUUGAGUGACACAUGAUAACUGUAUACAUUUGAUGCCUUGUUUUCUCCCUUUCAUGUGAAAGUCUCAGGUGUCCUUUAUGUUCAUGUGGUCUCCACAGCCUCCGUUCAGAGAGCGGAGGCAGAGGAAGUCAGUGGGGUUGGAUAAUUGCAUUCAGCAGGUGCCACAUACAGAGCAGCUCCUGUGAAUUAUUAAUGAUAAAUUAUUUGGGGAAAAAACUUCUUGGACUUUCUUUGUCGUACUUUUAACAAUUGAGCACGAUACUCGUCAGACAGCUUCUUGCGAGCUGUCAAAUUAUUUAAAUGACAGAUGAAUGUGCUGGGUAUGUAACGAAAAAAGAGUGCUCUCUGUGCUGGUUUGAUGGGCACCGUUCGGGCUUUUCAAAAUAAAGGUUCUGAGCACUUUAAUUUUGGAGUGACUUGCCGUGGUUCACCAAAGAGAUUUAAAAUGCUCUCAACUACUUUGGAAAAGAACAGAAAGAAAGUUUGGUGCUUCGUACAAACAGAGGAACACUCCACAAGUGACAUUUGAAAAGCAGCGACGGUGGUAAUCACUGCUCAAAAUACACUCAGAGGCGCUCUGCUCUCAUUGUUCCUGAUGGAUCUCAUUGUUCCGGGUAUUGUCGUGUCAAAAGAAAGUUUCAUGUGACAUCUGUUGUUCCUUAAGAAAAACAAAAAAAGCCCAAGUCAGAGAUGAGAUCCAACUUCGCUCUGGAAACCGAGGCCUACACAGGUCACCAGGGUGAACAUGGAGGCCGCAUCGUCUCUGGCUGCAGGCCCUGUGUCCCAGCAGAUGGGCCUUGACUUGCUGCACUCCUGCCCCUGGCUGCUCCGGCCCAAGCUCUGCAGAGCCCCGGUCCUUCAGCAGCACAUCCUGAGUGCAGUGCAAGGGCUGGGUGACAUGGGCGAGCUCAAAGGACAACCAAAAGAAUCCCGAACAUUUCAGUCCUUGUUUUGGUUUUUUUUUUUUUAAAUACACCCCUUCUGCUGAAUCCAUCCUCUGAAUCAGAGGAUGGUCAGCCCUCAGGAGCUGCAAGUUCCCUUCGAACUGCAAAACGAGCUCAGCUUUUGUGAGUUAACUUUGAUCGUAUCCUAGAGUUGGUCUCAUGCCCACCUCGGAGCCUUUGCCUGUACUGACUCCUGCCUGCAGCACCUGUCCUGGUUCGUGCGUGGUUGGGCCUUCUUGUCAUUCUCGUCCCAGCAGCUCCCACACCCUCGGGCAUACCGCCCCAUACCUGCAGCAUUCCCUCCCAGAACUUUCACUAUUCCAUAUUAGCUUCUCCACUGCUUCUUCACAUGUUAAAUCAGAAUCCCUGACUAGGACCUGAGCUCUGUCCUGGGCAACACUGUCUAGGUCAGCCCUGAAGACUGUCUCCGCCAGGGUGAGUGCUCACAGUGUUGCUGGGUAAGAGUGGCUUCAGCUUAUUAACCAACGUCUCGGCUGGUUCUCUGGUCUGGGAUUAUGAUGUGGGGUCCUAAGGUCCUACGGGUCCGAGGUGGGGACCUCUGGGUAGCACAAGACCCUGUUUCCCUGCAGGCCAGCCCGGCGGCCUUGCCAUCCAAACAUCAGUCUCCAGGGUUCUGCUAAGACGAGGCCACCUCUGAUACCCCAACUGCCAGGUUGCCCACAGCCCUGGUCCAGGGAUGUGCAGAGUUAGAGGUCCUAACCCUGGCAUGUGGGAGGCUCAGCCUGGUGUAAAUGUCCACACCCACCCCUGCACUAGGGACUCAGCCGUAGGCCCUGCCCAGGCCUCCGUCUCUGACUUCCUCCAGAGCUCGCUUAUUUGCCUGAGGUACUUUACCUCUCUCCUUGCCUGAGACCCCAGAGCCUAUUUCUGCAAUAAUUCUUCAUUAAGAAAAUGAAAUACAAAAAUAAAACAGCCUCUUGCCAGGCUUAACAGCAGCACUAAAUUAGAUCUCUGUGAGUAGCCAAGUGGCCACUGUAAAAGAGAUGGAUGGGCUUUUAGCCUCAGAAACACACAGCAUCUUCUAGAACUUGGCAGAACUGACGGUCCCGACACACUCUCACCAGAGGCAGAGCCCUCCCUACCGCCUGCCUCGGAGCUGCCUUUGGAGAUGUGGGGGAGGCUUUGAGGUUGUCACAGAGAUGGGGGGUGCCAUGGGUGUUCAGGGGCCAGGGAUGCUCUACAUCCUGCAGAGGGCUGUACUGGGCCAAGAAAGUCCUGUCCCAAGUGCCAGGACAUCUCCUGGGAGUCUCUGCACCCUNCGAAGAGCUGCCCACGGUGCUGGAGGGGACGGUUCAGGUGCUUUGGGCCAACACAUGUUUUCAGAGUGAUGUAUUUGAAGACAGGCAGCAAGUGCUUCUGCACUUGGAUAUUUCUGCAUACAUAUUGAAUGUGGGAAGCUUAUUUGAGCAGUGUUAAAAAAAACUUUAUCUUUUAAUUUAAUGUUUAAAUUAAUUGAUUUUAUAACUCCUUUUAGAAGCUUCUUACAUUUCGGAGAGUAGUUAUUUUUUAAGUUGUGCUUUGUUUUAUUUUUGAGUGACACAUGAUAACUGUAUACAUUUGAUGCCUUGUUUUCUCCCUUUCAUGUGAAAGUCUCAGGUGUCCUUUAUGUUCAUGUGGUCUCCACAGCCUCCGUUCAGAGAGCGGAGGCAGAGGAAGUCAGUGGGGUUGGAUAAUUGCAUUCAGCAGGUGCCACAUACAGAGCAGCUCCUGUGAAUUAUUAAUGAUAAAUUAUUUGGGGAAAAAACUUCUUGGACUUUCUUUGUCGUACUUUUAACAAUUGAGCACGAUACUCGUCAGACAGCUUCUUGCGAGCUGUCAAAUUAUUUAAAUGACAGAUGAAUGUGCUGGGUAUGUAACGAAAAAAGAGUGCUCUCUGUGCUGGUUUGAUGGGCACCGUUCGGGCUUUUCAAAAUAAAGGUUCUGAGCACUUUAAUUUUGGAGUGACUUGCCGUGGUUCACCAAAG
rnacentral:lncRNA from 1 species